UGUGGUUAGUGACUUAAUGGAAUAAUUGCUGUCAGAGCGGAUGGUCAAAUCGCCAGAUGUAUUUUCAAGGGCUAGGAUUAUGGCUUGCAAUUCCGCACGAUUGUUGGUUUGCUCUUCCCCAGCCAACGGUACUGAAAUAUUUCUUGGGUCAUCAUUUCCGAAAAAAACUCCACAGCCAGCAACAGCUCCUUUUUUCCCAUUUCGCAAACUAGAACCGUCAGCAUAGACGACCUGUCGAUCCGAGCACGCAAUUGAUUUUUCAUGAGUGUCAUUCGAAAAUAUUUCAAUAUCUUUUUCGGUACUAUAACUUCUAGAAAUUUUCUUUCUAUAUUUAUCGGAGUGUCUAGCAGAGUAAUUUGAGGAACUAGAAGAAUAUGGAGAGUACCCAUAACUUGUUGUACUGCGGCGAUAUGGGCCAGAAGACGAGGAGUAGCGACUUCCUUCGGUCCUGCAAAAUUCCUGAGCAGCCUCAUAGCUGUCAAAUUUCUUGUAGCGAUUACCUCCAUAACCUUUCACCUGAUCCGACGCCUCAUCCCUAAAAAUUAGUAAGAGUUUGUUAAACAACAAGGUGUAUCCAUCAAGGAAAUGUUAAUAAGAGAUCAUCUUGAAAAAACCGAUUCAGAUUGAAUUGAAGCAAAGCAUACGACCGUAUCGAAACUUGCUUAACGUGAAACUUAUAUUUAACAACGAAACCAUUUUCUUGAGAUACGCAGUCUUACCAUGUACUAUAUAUACCAGUAUUUCGACCACGCGCUACUGCAUAGUAUGCACGCUUAUUUCCACCCAUUUCGUAAUGCGAAGAUUCAAAAAUAGCUUUAAAAUAGUAAAACUUAGUAAAACUUGGGAGUUUUUCCCAAAACUUUGCAAAA